AUUGAACGCUGGCGGCAUGCUUUACACAUGCAAGUCGAACGAGUGGCGGACGGGUGAGUAAUGCUUGGGAAUCUAGCUUAUGGAGGGGGAUAACUACUGGAAACUGUAGCUAAUACCGCGUACCAUUGGAUGAGCCCAAGUGGGUUUAUGUAGUUGGUGAGGUAAAGGUUCACCAAGCCGACGAUCUCUAGCUGGUCUUAGAGGAAGACCAGCCAAACGGGGACUGAGACACGGCCCAGACUCCUACGGGAGGCAGCAGUGGGGAAUAUUGGGCAAUGGGGGCAACCUGACGCAGCCAUGCCGCGUGAAUGACGAAGGCCUUCGGGUUGGAAAGUUCUUUUGGUAGAGAGGCGUUAACUACAGAAGACGCACCGACUAACUCCGUGCCAGCCGCCGCGGUAAUAC
rnacentral:rRNA from 1 species